AUUGAACGCUGGCGGCAGGCCUAACACAUGCAAGUCGAACGAGUGGCGGACGGGUGAGUAAUGUCUGGGAAUCUGCCUGAUCGAGGGGGAUAACUACUGGAAACGGUAGCUAAUACCGCAUACCAUCGGAUGUGCCCAGCUGGGAUUAGCUAGGAGGUGGGGUAAAGGCUCACCUAGGCGACGAUCUCUAGCUGGUCUGAUAGGAUGACCAGCCAGACGGGGACUGAGACACGGUCCAGACUCCUCCGGGAGGCAGCAGUGGGGAAUAUUGCACAAUGGGCGAAGGCCUGAUGCAGCCAUGCCGCGUGUAUGAAGAAGGCCUUCGGGUUGUAAAGUACUUUCAGCGGGGAGGCGUUACCCGCAGAAGAAGCACCGGCUAACUCCGUGCCAGCAGCCGCGGUAAUUC
rnacentral:rRNA from 1 species